CUGAACUGAAAACCAAUUUGGCCCGACCAGUUCUUGGCAAAGACUUUACACAAAACCAAGACAAGAGAGAGAGG